GCUCCUGUAGCUCAGAGGCAGAGCACCAACCUUCUAAGUUGAGUGUCGGGGGUUCGAAUCCCUCCAGGGGCG
rnacentral:tRNA from 1 species